rnacentral:lncRNA from 1 species
GGACAGUAUUUCUUUCAUUAAAUGCACCUAGUGUCACUGGGUGUGACGGCGCACAUCUGUAAUCCCUGAGAGGGGGAGUGGGACUUGGAAGACUGAGACAGGGAACAGAGAAGCUCUGGGGAAGGCUGGGUUCAAGCCCCUCUGCUUCUGCUACUAGUUUGGAAUAAACCAAAACACAAAUUCAUUGUGGUUCAAUGUGCAGGCUAAAUUGCACUACAGCAAGUGCCAGGGAAUACAAUAUGCAUGUUCUUCUCUUGUUCUGGGACCUCGCUGGCAAUCAUAACCGCCACCCUGCUGUGCACUUUCACGCAUGGGCUCCCAUAAUCCCACAACAACCAUCCGGAAGAGGUACAGUUAUUGCCUGGCUUUGAAGAAGAGGAAACAGAGGCACUCAGAGGUCAUGGACCUUGCCCAGGAUCUCCUUGCCAGGAAAUGGCUCAGAGCCAGGUCCUCACCAGGACAGCGUGCUGCCUGCUGCCAUCACCAGGCAGCCUCUGAGCCCCCCACCAGGAGGUGCGGCAGUGCCUCCCAGGAGAGGAAGGCUCCUGCUGUGCUGAUUUUGGAGGUGGGAUCUGGAAACCCUGCCCGUCCCUAAAGACAGGACUGUCUCCUGUCUGUGGAAAGAACAGGCUGCAGGUGGCAGUGUAAAGCAAAAAGGGGUGGGUGGCACUGCCAGGUGGUGGCACCAUGGGUAAACGCAGCAUACACCUCUUCUUGCUGUGAUUGCCCACCCACCACUCCCUGAGCAAACAUCCAUCCCCCUCCCCUGACUUUUUUUUGUUUGUUUGUGAUAGAGUCUUACUAUGUAGUUAAGGCUGGCUUUCAACUCAUUAUGGAGCCUCAAAGCAGGCAAUCCUGCCUGCCGGCUUCCAUAGGCCUGGUGUUGUCACGCCCCUGGCAUCUAAUUUCAUUUCUGAGAGGAAUUUCAUUCUGCCCCCCAGUAACUUAAACUCUGAGCUGUAACAGGGAAGAGAAGGUGACCUUACUGGGCAGAUUCUCUCAGGGUUGCCAGGAGGUCA